rnacentral:rRNA from 1 species
GACAGAGGGGGCAAGCGUUGCUCGGAAUCACUGGGCGUAAAGGGCGCGUAGGCGGGAUGGCAAGUCGGUCGUGAAAUCCUUCGGCUCAACCGAAGAACGUCGGCCGAUACUGCUGUUCUUGAGGACUGGAGAGGAGACUGGAAUUUACGGUGUAGCGGUGAAAUGCGUAGAUAUCGUAAGGAAGACCAGUGGCGAAGGCGGGUCUCUGGACAGUUCCUGACGCUGAGGCACGAAGGCCAGGGGAGCAAACGGG